GACGAACGCUGGCGGCGUGCUUAACACAUGCAAGUCGAACGCUGAAGCUCAGCUUUUGUUGGGUGGAUGAGUGGCGAACGGGUGAGUAACACGUGAGUAACCUGCCCCCUUCUUUGGGAUAACGCCCGGAAACGGGUGCUAAUACUGGAUAUUCACUGGUCUUCGCAUGGGGGUUGGUGGAAAGGGUUUUUCUGGUGGGGGAUGGGCGCGCGGCCUAUCAGCGUGUUGGUGGGGUGAUGGCCUACCCAGGCGUUGACGGGUAGCCGGCCUGAGAGGGUGAACGGUCACAGUGGGACUGAGAUACGGCCCAGAGGAGGACGGGAGGCAGAAGUGGGGAAUAUUGCACAAUGGGCGCAAGCGUGAUGCAGCGUCGGCGCGUGAGGGAUGGAGGUCUUCGGGUUGUGAACCUCGUUCGCUCAUGGUGAAGCCGCAACAAUGGUUGUGGUGAGGGUAGUGGGUAAAGAAGCGCCGGCUAACUACGUG
rnacentral:rRNA from 1 species